rnacentral:sRNA from 1 species
CCUGGGCAGGAUUGGGAGAGAGGUAGCUACCCGGAUGCAGUCCUUUGGGAUGAAGGCUUCCUUCUCCGUGGCACCACUACACAUCAAUAUUCCUGGCAAUAUUCUUCAUCAUGGAGACUUUGGCAGUGACUUCAACCAGAUGAAAAGCCCCACCUCAUUCCUGAAUGAUUGAGGUGCUAGAACAUGCUCUUUGUAAACCCCUGAAACAUGGCUUGGAUCAUUCCAUCUCCCACCUCAGCCCCUCCGGAGCUGCCUGGACCUCAUCAUUCCGGAGAGUCUAAGUGGCCUCUUCUCGUGCUCAGCUGCUUACCU